UCGGGAGGAUUCGGUGCUGAAGGGAAGCCGAAGAGUGAACUACCUGGAAAGUAUAGUCGCAAGAUCGAAACUUAAAGGAAUUGGCGGGGAGACAUACAACGAGUGACGCGUGCGGUUUAAUCAGAUUUUACACCGUGAACCUUACUAGGAGCGACAGCAGGAUGAAGGUCAGUCUAAAGGGCUUACCUGACACGCUGAGCGGAGAUACAAAGCCGACGUCAGCCUGUGCUGUGAAGUGACCUGUUAAAUCAGGUAACAGGCGAGACCCGUGUCAUUAAUUACUACAGAAAUGGGUACAUUAAUGAGAUUGCCUUGGUAACAAGGAUGAAAGUGCGGGCUACGUUAGGUGGCUUGUCCCUAAUCCCCUAGGCUACACGCGCGCGGCAAUGGUAUGUUCAAAUGGAUGCGACCUCGAGAGAGGAAGCUAAUCCCCUAACGCAUAUCUCAGUCCAGAUCGAGGAUUGCAACCCAUCCUCGUGACGUUGGAAUUCGUAGUAAUCGGAUAUUAGCACUGUCCGGUGAAUAAGUCCCUGUCUCUUGCACACACCGCCCGUCAAACCAACCGAGUUGUGUAGGGGUGAAGCCCUUUUUGGGAAAAACCUUUUCACGACAAGGUAGGUUAAGUCGUAACAAGGUAGCC
rnacentral:rRNA from 1 species